GAUGAACGCUGGCGGCGUGCCUAAUACAUGCAAGUCGAGCGAACAGAUAAGGAGCUUGCUCCUUUGACGUUAGCGGCAGACGGGUGAGUAACACGUGGGUAACCUACCUAUAAGACUGGGAUAACUUCGGGAAACCGGAGCUAAUACCGGAUAACAUUUGGAACCGCAUGGUUCUAAAGUGAAAGAUGGUUUUGCUAUCACUUAUAGAUGGACCCGCGCCGUAUUAGCUAGUUGGUAAGGUAACGGCUUACCAAGGCGACGAUACGUAGCCGACCUGAGAGGGUGAUCGGCCACACUGGAACUGAGACACGGUCCAGACUCCUACGGGAGGCAGCAGUAGGGAAUCUUCCGCAAUGGGCGAAAGCCUGACGGAGCAACGCCGCGUGAGUGAUGAAGGGUUUCGGGUCGUAAAACUCUGUUAUUAGGGAAGAACAAAUGUGUAAGUAACUGUGCACGUCUUGACGGUACCUAAUCAGAAAGCCACGGCUAACUACGUG
rnacentral:rRNA from 1 species